rnacentral:rRNA from 1 species
AUUGAACGCUGGCGGAAUGCUUUACACAUGCAAGUCGAACGGUAGAGGGGGCAACCCCUUGAGAGUGGCGAACGGGUGAGUAAUAUAUCGGAACGUGCCCAGUCGUGGGGAUAACGUAGCGAAAGCUACGCUAAUACCGCAUACGAUCCAUGGAUGAAAGCGGGGGAUCGCAAGACCUCGCGCGAUUGGAGCGGCCAAUAUCAGAUUAGGUAGUUGGUGAGGUAAAGGCUCACCAAGCCGACGAUCUGUAGCUGGUCUGAGAGGACGACCAGCCACACUGGGACUGAGACACGGCCCAGACUCCUACGGGAGGCAGCAGUGGGAAUUUUGGACAAUGGCGCAAGCCUGAUCCAGCAAUGCCGCGUGCAGGAUGAAG